rnacentral:tRNA from 1 species
GGGCCGUUAGCUCAAUUGGCAGAGCAGCGGACUUUUAAUCCGCGGGUUGUGGGUUCGAGUCCCACACGGCCCA